rnacentral:rRNA from 1 species
AAAUAGAGGUGUGCAUGUUUGUGGCAAGUCUGUGUGGGUUUGUCCCGGUCCAAACGUUUUAUGGUUCGUUGAACCAUGAUUUCUGGCCUGGGAUGGACUGAGGUGCAUAUUUGCGCUCUUGCGUUCCUCGGAACUGCAAAUAAAUGACACAGACAAAAUGGUUGUAAACCGCCCGUCUUGUAACACGGACCAAGGAGUCUAGCAUAUCUGCAAGUGUUUGGGUGUUAAAAACCCGAGCGCGU